UACGNAGGGUGCGAGCGUUAAUCGGAAUUACUGGGCGUAAAGCGCACGCAGGCGGUUUGUUAAGCUAGAUGUGAAAGCCCCGGGCUCAACCUGGGAUGGUCAUUUAGAACUGGCAGACUAGAGUCUUGGAGAGGGGAGUGGAAUUCCAGGUGUAGCGGUGAAAUGCGUAGAUAUCUGGAGGAACAUCAGUGGCGAAGGCGACUCCCUGGCCAAAGACUGACGCUCAUGUGCGAAAGUGUGGGUAGCGAACAGG
rnacentral:rRNA from 1 species